GAACAGCCGUGCCGCGGCCGCCGACGAGCGAACGCGAGCCGUCCAGCGCCACCGACUCGACUCGCGCUGCCAGUCGAAGUUUGACUGCUUUGGCUUGUGGACGUGCGUUGACCGUACCUACUGCGCCACCUCCCAAUCGAUAACGACAUCGUUUUCGUGCCGAUUCGAACGUAAACCGUUCGCGACACGAUCGUUAAUCCGUUUCCAGCCGAUUCCUACGAUUCACGGCCGACCCGAGUGAUCGGGAAAGACCCGUCGACCGGGACAACGAGACAACUACCACAACAACAAAUAACAAUGGAAGAAGACCAAAAUGGCGGCGUCGUCGUCGUCGGGCGGCCGCCGAACAGCGAUACCUGCGGAACGAUCGUCAACCACGGCGGCGGGGACGAUCGGACGUCGGUGGCGGCGGCGGCUGCGGCACCGCCUACUCCAGCGCUCCCGGCGGCGGCGGCCACAGCUUUCGGAGCCCCGGCGCGUCCAGCGCCACGGUACGGCGCCCAUCACAACUGCAACAAUAACAAUUCGGUCAUCAAAGGGCAGCCGUUAAAGGGUCCUGGUAAUCUAGAUCACAGAAAUAGACGUACGCGUCGUGGUAAACGUAAAAGCAGAAAGCAAACACCAUACAUGAAGGAUGGGAUGUUGUUUCGAGACAAAGCUGUAGCUCCAAAUAACACUAAUCAGUUUUUAAUGGAUGAUCACAAUGAUGGACCAGACAUAGAUAAAAAAUUAUUUGCACGAUACAACAAUGAAAAUGUACGUACAAGAAAUUCAAGUCAUACUAGUCUCGAGUCCGAGGCUGAACUGAUCUAUUCUUCAUCGGAUGAUGAUGGCACUUCAAUACAAAAAGAAUUUAUUGAAAGCUAUAGACUUGUUCAAGAAGAAGAAUUGGCAUUGUUGACACAAAACGAACUUGUUCAACGAGUGAUUGAGCUUGAAGAAAAAGUGCAAUUACUUGAGGCUAAAAGGUAUAAAAAAAAUACAGAUACAUGUGUAAAUGGCAUACCUAAAGAAGACGAUGAAGAAAACUCUAUUGAUCUAGAAGAAUAUAAAUUAAUGCAAAUACAGAAUAGAGAAUUAACAUCACAAAACAAAGUACUGCAAGCUGAAGUUGAAACCCUUAAACAAAAUCAAAUCAAGAUCGAAUCAAUAGAUUCAGAAAGCUCUGUAGAUAGUGGAAGUUCUUCAGACUCUAGUAGUUCUUCUAGUUCAUCUGAUGGACAAGAAAUAGAAAUGAAGUUUUUAGUACGGAGUAGUGGAAAAGAUGAUUGAUCAGUCAAGUACCAAAAUAAUGUUUAAUGUAAACUGAAGUUUGGCAAUGAUCACUUUAACAUGGAAUUUAGUGAUAACUUAUGCCUAACAAAUAACCAUCAGAUUAACACCUGCCGAAAAAUGACAGCAACUGGUGUAGUAUUGACGUCAGAAACAAAAUGUUUGCAAAAUAAACAUAAAGGUCAAUGGUGUCAACUAAUGUGUCAUAGAGGCAAAAAAAUGUGUUACUGACUGAAAUUUAUCUUAAGAUCAGAAAGUGGUGUCAAAUAUCUCCAGGAUUCACCACUAAUUAUCUACAUAUAAAUACAUUCUAUUUAUGGAUGAUAAUUAUUUUAAAAUCAUACACCUGGAUUAAAGACGUGAAGUU